rnacentral:lncRNA from 1 species
UGCAGUGAGCUGAGAUCACGCCAUUGCAUUCAGGCCUGGGUGACAAGAGCGAAACUCUGUCUCAAAAAACAGACAAACAAAACCAAACAGAUUCUGAGCCAAGAGAAUGUUACCUCAGGAUUGGUUCUGGACUAAUGAGAAGCUACUGGGAUGGUCAGCCACCAUAUUUGGAAAAUGCUAGAGAUCUUGAGUUGUAAGACUCUUCCAUUCCUGGGAGCUACUAGAUGUCAGUCAGUACAUUCGUCCUCAAGGGAACAUAAAUUCAU